rnacentral:rRNA from 1 species
CGCCUUGCCAGCCCGCUCAGAAACUUAAAGGAAUUGAGGGGGCCCCGCACAAGCGGAGGAGCAUGUGGUUUAAUUCGAUGAUACGCGAGGAACCUUACCUGGGCUCGAACGUAAGAUGACUGUAGGUGAAAGCUUACAUCUCUUCGGAGCAUUUUACGAGGUGCUGCAUGGUUGUCGUCAGCUCGUGCCGUGAGGUGUCGGGUUAAGUCCCAUAACGAGCGCAACCCCUACCUUUAGUUGCCAUCAGGUUAAGCUGGGGACUCUAAUGAGACUGCCAUCGUAAGAUGUGAGGAAGGUGGGGAUGACGUCAAAUCAGCACGGCCCUUACGUCCGGGGCGACACACGUGUUACAAUGGGUGGUACAAAGGGCAGCUACCUGGCGACAGGAUGCUAAUCUCCAAAACCACUCUCAGUUCGGAUCGGAGUCUGCAACUCGACUCCGUGAAGCUGGAUUCGCUAGUAAUCGCGCAUCAGCCACGGCGCGGUGAAUACGUUCCCGGGCCUU